AAUUAGUAGUUAGUUACAUAAGGACGACUGUCCAGAGCUGGUAGAGAAAGUAGAAGUCCUUUUUGGUUGUGGAAUGGUUUAAUUAGGUACUGAUUUACAUGAAAAUUACAUAUUAUAAUUAGAGAUACGUCCGUUUCGCACCGAUGCUAGGUAACGAAGGCUUCGAGUCUAGUCUGCAUUCUGUAUAUGGUGUUAUUUGACUCUCUCGGCACGUUUCGCUGAUGAUGGAAGUCGUCCAGCGUAACAAAUGAACAAAAAAAGCG